CCCAGCUUGGUACAGUGGUUUGAGCAUUGGACUAUGACUCUGGAGACCAGGGUUCAAUUCCCACUUGGCC